UACCGGUGAUCGGACAACGAUUCCGCC
rnacentral:sRNA from 1 species